rnacentral:rRNA from 1 species
CCCUUAGAUGUCCUGGGCCGCGCGCGCGCUACACUGAGUGUCUGAGAUACGAGUCUGCCUGGUCCGGCAAGGUCUAGGUAAUCGCUAAAAGACACAUCAUGCUUGGGAUAGAUUAUUGCAAAUAUUAAUCUUGAACGAGGAAUUCCCAGUAAGCGCAAGUCAACAGCUUGCGUUGAUUACGUCCCUGCCCUUUGUACACACCGCCCGUCGCUACUACUGAUUGGAUGUUUAAGCGAGGUUCUCGAACUGCUAGCGACUUAGCUUCGGUGAGGUCGCAGUGUGGGAAGUGAACCUAGCUUUGGUGUCUAGAGGAAGUAAAAGUCGUAACA